rnacentral:lncRNA from 12 species
GCUGCGUGUGUUAUUGUGCUGAUAUCUUAUUUCUAAUUGUGUUGACAGCUGACUCCUGAAUUUUUUAUUUUUACCUUUUACGCCAUUUUUUCUAAAAGUGUGCACCAUCUUUUAGGUUAAAUACUUGCAUUUGGGCUGUUACAAAGCAAUGCAGAGAAAACAGAAGCUGCAUCUGAAAUGCCAUUGUUUGUACACACUGUUUAAUGCAGCUCUGAGGGACAUGGAAUACUUUAACCUGCAGUUACAAAUGAAUAAAUUAUUUUAAAAAUGAAAAGGUACCUUAAAUGUGAAAUUAAAACCGCCAGUGGGUGGCAGCGAGUCACUGUUAAUAAGUGAGUCAUUGCGAUUGAACCGAAUAAUUUAAACGAUUGAUUCAUUCAGGAACGAAACACUAUCAUGUUGCUCAGAGAUGCAAAACAGUGGCUGUGUUUGGAAUGAUGUUUAUAUAAAUAGAGCAAAAACAGGGAAUAUGUUGUCUAAAACAUAAAUCUCUUGAUAUUAACUUCUUGUUUAUUGAACUGUUGUAUAAAAUCAAUAUCACAUUUGUAAUUUUGCUGACUUUUGGAGAAAAACGUCACUCUUCUUCGUGUGAUAGUAACUAUAUGGAAUUACAUAAAUUAUAUAGAUCUAUAAAUGUUCUGCCCCAUAUCUUGAAAAAUGUGAUAAUUCUAAAUUUCCAGUGAAAGAAUGCACUAUAAAUGCGUAUGCGCACUAGUCUAGACCAUAUGUGAGCGGAGUGGAGUGGCAACAAUUUCCCUCCGCGCUCCGAGCAUUUAAUAAUCCCUCCACUCCGCGCUCACUGAUACCAGAAACACCGCUCCGCCUUCGCUCCUUGGAUAAAGUAUUUCAGUAUGUUUGAAAUGUUAUGUUCACAACGUAGCCUAUAUAAAAAUAAAAUAAAUAAAAAAAUCACAGGAGAGUUUCCAAGUGGCUUAGGCUAUUUUGUGCAAACUUUUUUUCCUACCACACGCCAAACUAAUAACAUGGUUGUCACCAUUAAAAGGUAUAAUUGCUGCUUUCUGCUGUGCAAAUUUUGUUUGCGAUGAAGUACAUUUUCGUCAGUUUAUUUUAUCUACAGAUCGAUGCAUUUCUUACAGAUUUCUGCUCAUUCAAAAUCAGAUACAGAUGAAGUAGCACUGUAAGAUUACAUUUGUUUGAAUGCAUCAUUGCGAAAGCGAUUGCGUGUGAAUGUGCUGUAUCUGUUUAAAUCCCGCUUUAACCCGAAAAUAUUCAUUAAAAGAGACAGACAAAUUCUUUGAGGACUAUAACUUCCCGCUCGGC